UACGAAGGGGACUAGCGUUGUUCGGAAUUACUGGGCGUAAAGGGCGCGCAGGCGGUCUUCCAAGUCAGAUGUGAAAGCCCCGGGCUCAACCUGGGAACUGCAUUUGAGACUGGAGGACUAGAGUCGGGAGAGGAGAGCGGAAUUCCCAGUGUAGAAAGUGAAAUUCGUAGAUAAUUGGGAAGAACACCGGUGGCGAAGGCGGCGACCUGGUCCGGUACUGACGCUGAGGCGCGAAAGCGUGGGGAGCAAACAGG
rnacentral:rRNA from 1 species